rnacentral:rRNA from 1 species
AACGAACGCUGGCGGCAGGCUUAACACAUGCAAGUCGAACGCGCCCUCCGGGGCGAGUGGCAGACGGGUGAGUAACGCGUGGGAACCUACCUUUUGGUACGGAAUAACUCAGGGAAACUUGAGCUAAUACCGUAUGUGCCCUUCGGGGGAAAGAUUUAUCGCCAAAGGAUGGGCCCGCGUCGGAUUAGCUAGUUGGUGGGGUAAUGGCCUACCAAGGCGACGAUCCGUAGCUGGUCUGAGAGGAUGAUCAGCCACACUGGGACUGAGACACGGCCCAGACUCCUACGGGAGGCAGCAGUGGGGAAUAUUGGACAAUGGGGGCAACCCUGAUCCAGCCAUGCCGCGUGAGUGAUGAAGGCCUUAGGGUUGUAAAGCUCUUUCGCCGGUGAAGAUAAUGACGGUAACCGGAGAAGAAGCCCCGGCUAACUUCGUGCCAGCCGCCGCCGUAA